AUGGGCGGCCGAGCGCGCCCGAGGGACCCGCGUCGGGAGAAGCCGCGCAGCGCCUACCGCGGGGGUCGAGUCCUGGCGGCCCCACCUGCUCCGGAGUCGGCCCUGUCCCUCUGUGGAGACCGGGACCCAGAGAGUGUGGCCUGGGACACCUCCUAUCCAGCCAUACGCCGCCCAGGACUGGCUCAACACCUCCACCCCCCACUGCUGAUUCACCCAUGACAUGUCACCUCCCACCUGCCACUGCUGGCUCACCUGUGACACCCCAGGCAGCUCAGAUGCCCAGCAGGUCCUGAUGGUAAGAGGGAGGCAGGAACCUGUCCUGUCUGGGACCUGGGCAUUGCUGGGCGCUGGAGAGACCUGGGACCUCAACCACGCUGAGAGCUGGCCUGUCAUACAGGCGGUGCCUGGCAGAUGUGGGUGGGCUCCGCAGGCCCCUGGCAGCCCACCCCUGCCUUCUUGCCAUCCCUCCUGGGAGUCUCCUGGCCAAGGAGGACUCGAGGACUGUCCCACCUGUGCCCAGGGCUCACUGUGGCUCCCUUCAGCGGGGCUCUGCUCUCUCCCCGCCUGCUUCCCCUCCAGCUCCCGGGCUCUGCCCCAGCAUCCCCCCGAGCCUCUCCCAUUCCUGGCCCCAGCCUGGCCAGGGAUCCCAGAGGAUGCCUUCGUCAGCCCCUUGCCUGGUGGAUCACCACUCCUGUCUCCUGCUGCUCUGCCCCCUGCCCCAGGCCUGGGAGACCUGGGAGGACCCUCAGGGAGGGUCAAGGAUGUGUGACGCCAGCAGGAGGCCUACGAAUUCCCUGGCAGGAAGCACACUGCACAGGGAGCCUGCCGCCAUGCUGCCACCCUCAUGCCCCUGCGGGGCCGCUGGGAGGGAUGCCUAGGGCAGGGCGGGCAGUGGCUGCCAUAGGGGAGGUGCCCUGGGCAGUGCUGUUCCCUGAGAAACUGCAGCCCCAAGGGGCCUAGGCAGGGCCUGGCCUGAGUGGGGUUGAGGGGGAGGUAGGGUGGGCGUGCCCUAUGAUGUAGGGCCUGCUGCGCCCUGGGGAGGGGACCCAGUGCAGUGGUGCCCAAGUUCCAGCAUUCAGACUGCCUGGGAGCCCUGAGACUCCCUGACCCAGCAGAACACCCCAUCCUGGGUGGAGGGGAGAGUGAGGUGGGCCAGAAAGCCCACACAGGCAACUGAGACCCUCCCCACCUGCUACCCCAUCUGCUUGGGCCCAGGAAUGGAGGGGCCGAGGCAGACCCCUCAGCAUACAUGCUGAACCCUGAUGUGUAGCCGCCCACACACCAUGAGCCCAGAUUCUGGCAUUCAGUAUUUUUUCUGACAUCAAAGAGAGUCUUGGCCGGGCACGGUGGCUCACACUUGUAAUCCCAGUACUUUGGGAGGCCG